CCUCCUCCAGUGGCAGGAUGUGAUCCACCCACAAGGAGGGACUCCAAUAAGGCGUCCGAUAAGAUAAGUCUUAUAACAUACAUAGAUUUAUGAUAAUUGAGACUGAGCUAACAGAUGAGAAUCCUAGUCAUUGGCCAAGCAGCUUUGAACCUAAUACAAGUUUCUGUGUAUUCAUUUGGGCCUAACUUAGGCUGGCGGCUGGCAUAAAGCUCACACGUGGUGGUGGGGCUCAGGUGGCUUUUGGCAGAAAGAUUUAUCGUAACAUAGUAGAGAAGUCUUAAUCUGAAAGUCAAUUAGGGAGCUAGAAGUUCAGAUUAAAGAGUUCUUCAAGAACCCAAUGAAGAGUAGAGUUGAGAAAAUAUGAUAGGCCAGUUAAAAGGUAUGGCACAGAGGGGGAAAACAUCAGUAUCUACCUAUCUAUACUUUGAAAAGGUCAUUUAUAUUUUUGGUAUAUGGCCAUUUCCAUGUAUGUAUGUGCGCCAUGUGAAUGCAGUACCUUUGGAGGACAGAAGAGGGCACUGGAUUUGUUUGAACUGGGGUUACCAACAAUAUUGAGCUACCACGUAAAUACUGAGAAUUAAACCCAGGUCCUCUGCAAGAUCUUUAAACAGCUGAGUCAUGUCCCCAGCCCUCAGCAUCUGUAUUUAGUGGAAAUCCCAGCAAAGUAAGGGGAAAGAAACCUCAAAGAAACAGAGAGCAAUUCAUUAUUUUCAAGUAUAUUUGAAGAUGAAAAGUAGCUUCCAUACUGAGUCACAAAGGACAUCUGGACAACUUGCAAAUUCCUCAUUUAAAUGUAAAUAAGAAUGAAAAUGCAAAAUAUUUGACAAUGAAUAAUGAUGAAGGCCUUGUACAUGCCACCAAAUUAUAUCAAAAAAGAAAUACAUAUAUGCAAAUGCUGAUAUUAAGUAGCAAUGAAAAAAGACUAAAAUUGGAGUGAGACAGAAGAUUUGCAUGGCCUCCAUGCAAGAAGAAAAAAAAAUAAAACUAGUUACUGAAGUCAAGGUUAGAAAAUAACACAGUGAGCAGGAGAAGAAUGGAAAUAAGGAUGUCAUGUAUAGGACAAGAUACUAAUAGCAGAUAAAAUAAUAAGAAACAAUCAGAGUGGUCAAUAGAAUACAAGCCGAUUCUUAGAGAAAAAAUGGAAAGGGGUGAGCAAUUUUCAAGUAAAAUUGAAAUCAAAUAAUUAUACAAGUAAUUGGAGGUGUAAAAAAGGGUCUACCACAUAUGACAUAGGGAAUUUUUUUCUUAGUCAAGACAGAAAGUUGGAAUAACUUUAUGUCAACAAUUUGCAAAGUUUGACAUGGAGGAUAUAUUUUUUGAGGCAUAAUACUACAAGAUUGAUUGGAUAGUUAUUCUGUGCAUAGCAAUCUCCUUACAGAGUCUAGUCAUGGAAAGAGAGCAUGAGUAACUUCUACAAUGGAGAAAUCUGGGCAUCCCUUCAGUCAGUAGAGUCAAGAAUCCCAUCUUCACCCCAGCAGAGGUCUCUGAGAAGUCCUCAGUGUGGGGUUGUGUCCCCAGCUCCUGAUCCUGUACCCCUGACAUGGCAGUGAUUUGUCUCACGCCCCAGUUCAAGAGCCAGGUUUAAGUCUCUCUUGAGCAGAGGAAGUAUGGAUUCCAGAGCCAUUAACAGCCGCCUGAGGCCUUUCCCAGCCAUAAACCUGCAAUUUUCUCGGAAUCUCCCCAGAAGUCCUGUCUACAGGGAAAGUGGCACCCAGUUCCACCUUGUCAGAUUGUAAUUCUACCCAAGGCUUCUCCAAAGCCACCUUCUGUAUCUCUCAUAAAGAGAAGGGUGGAAGAAGGAUUUCUUAGCAACCUCUUGAGAUGUAACUGAGUGUCAUCAACAUGGUAUAUAUGGAUAAUACUAAGAUAAUACAGGCUACUGCCACUAAAAGAGCCUGUAACCACACUUAGGUCUCUCUUACUUUCCUGGACUCUCCCUUGGGGAGCACAUACUGCCCCUUGGAUGGGUCUUUCUCUUUCUGUCAGCCCUGAAGCCUAUAUUAAAAUCUCUUCAAUUACAUUGCCAGCUCUGCUUCACUCUCCUUCCUAGUCCUGAGAUUCCUUUCAGUGUUGUAGCUGUGAGUUCCAGUUU
ensembl:lncRNA